AUUGAACGCUGGCGGCAGGCCUAACACAUGCAAGUCGGACGGUAGCACAGGGGAGCUUGCUCCUCGGGUGACGAGUGGCGGACGGGUGAGUAACGUCUGGGGAUCUGCCCGAUAGAGGGGGAUAACCACUGGAAACGGUGGCUAAUACCGCAUAAUGUCGCAAGACCAAAGAGGGGGACCUUCGGGCGUCUCACUAUCGGAUGAACCAAGAUGGGAUUAGCUAGUAGGCGGGGUAACGGCCCACCUAGGCGACGAUCCCUAGCUGGUCUGAGAGGAUGACCAGCCACACUGGAACUGAGACACGGUCCAGACUCCUACGGGAGGCAGCAGUGGGGAAUAUUGCACAAUGGGCGCAAGCCUGAUGCAGCCAUGCCGCGUGUAUGAAGAAGGCCUUCGGGUUGUGAAGUACUUUCAGCGGGGAGGAAGGCGAUGUGGUUAAUAACCGCGUCGAUUGACGUUACCCGCAGAAGAAGCACCGGCUAACUCCGUGCCAGCAGCCGCCGUAA
rnacentral:rRNA from 1 species